rnacentral:lncRNA from 1 species
GAGCCGCUUUUAAAAGGCUUAAGGAACCCGGUACUUCCUUUGUUUUACCGUCACUGAUGGGGCUAGCCUGCAAUGCCUAUGUGCAGGAGACAUUGCACGUUCCCGCGAUCAGAGUUGUUCUGGACACAUUAAAGUUCGCCGAAGUUGUAAGACCUGCUGUUUUCCCAUUGCUCCUGAGCAGAGUCAGUGGAAUCAGGGUGCCAUGUGUUCAUAACGUUACAUUAGGUUCUUCGAACGCUCAGCGUAUAAAGUAAAGAUGAAGGUGUCGGCAACACUACUUAUUUUAGUGGCGUCAUUUUCAUUGGCCAAGCGCAGACCGGGUGCUUUGUGCCCGGUGAGAUACACUCCAGUCGGAUGCAUCUUCCUGGGAAAGUUCAUUGCAGCUGGUGAAAGUACAGCACUUGGGAAUCCCUGCGUUUUUGUAUCAUGUUCUCGUAACGGACAAACAGUUUCAAUCACUGGGUGCCCAAGUGUUGCAGGGCCACCUCAGCACGCCACCAGAGUGCCUGCCCAACGUCCUCAAGGUUAUCCUGAAUGUUGUGAACGUUGCAGACCUCUUUAGCCAACGUCGCUGGUGCCACGGUUAUCAAAACAACGAUCGUGCUCAGUGGGGGUAGCCUUCUCUGCGAGUAUUCGGUCAGACAAGAAAGUUGCCUGAAUAAACAAACGACCACUUUCUCUCGGU